UACGAAGGGGGCUAGCGUUGUUCGGAAUCACUGGGCGUAAAGCGCACGUAGGCGGACUUGUUAGUCAGGGGUGAAAUCCCGGGGCUCAACCCCGGAACUGCCUCUGAAACUGCAAGUCUCGAGUCCGAGAGAGGUGAGUGGAAUUCCUAGUGUAGAGGUGAAAUUCGUAGAUAUUAGGAAGAACACCAGUGGCGAAGGCGGCUCACUGGCUCGGUACUGACGCUGAGGUGCGAAAGCGUGGGGAGCAAACAGG
rnacentral:misc_RNA from 1 species